GAGACACGCUGGCGGCAUGCCUAACACAUGCAAGUCGAACGGAGUAAUGACUUCGGUUAUUACUUAGUGGCGAACGGGUGAGUAACACGGUGAAUAAUCUGCCCUGUACGAUGGGAUAACAGCUGGAAACGGCUGCUAAUACCGUAUAUGACCACGCCGAGGCAUCUCGGAGGGGUGAAAGCGCUUAAGCGGUACAGGAUGAGUUCGCGUCCAAUUAGCUAGUUGGUGAGGUAACGGCCCACCAAGGCGACGAUUGGUAGCCGACCUGAGAGGGUGAUCGGCCACACUGGAACUGAGACACGGUCCAGACUCCUACGGGAGGCAGCAGUGGGGAAUAUUGGGCAAUGGAGGAAACUCUUUAACCCCCAGCAAUGCCGCGUGAGUGAUGAAGGUCUUCGGAUUGUAAAGCUCUUUGAUUGGGGACGAAUAAAUGACGGUACCCAAGGAACAAGCCCCGGCUAACUAUGUGCCAGCCGCCGC
rnacentral:rRNA from 1 species